CGUUGUCUUCUGAAACUACAAAUUCCUGUGUCGCUCCUACUUCAAAAGACUCCAUGCUGGAUACUCUGAUCAGAUUAGCUGUUCCAUCUGCAACAAAUUAGUAUUAUCUGUCUGCCUUCCAGCCCUUCCCCUUACCUAUCCAAUUCCCUUCCUGGAAAAGCGAUCAACAUUCUUUUUUCUCAUUUAUUCAUCCCUAGAUAUUUCAUGACCCUACUGGUAAAAAUACGGAAACAAGAGAAUGUACAUUGGUCGUUUGACAUAAGAGAGAAAGGUAUUCCACCAGAGGACUCAUCCUGGCCAAAGGCACAGAGAGAACUAAGAUAUAUUUAGAAAACAGGAGUAGUGAAUAGAGCAAUAAUCCCAGCUGCUGCCUCAACUGCUGCUUCUCCUUUUCCAGAUCUGACUUCAGCCUGAGUGUCCCUUGCCUGGACUGGUCCACAUACCAGCUGUGAGGAAAUUGGAUCCUCCGAGGCCCCUUGUGCAUCCUACCUUCCCUGGACCUCUGUUACUAUUUAUUGAGCUUUGACCCCCCAACCAUCUGUUUCAGUCCUGUGGUCAGCAGUGACUGCAGAGAUUAGUCCAAGUACUGAGAGGAAGUGACUGCGGAGUGAUUGGUCAUCAAUGCUACAUCUUGUAUCAGGGAGGACAGGAGCAGACAGUGGGAAGAAUGGGGAGACGGAGGGAAGAUGAAGGAAUGCUCACUGGUGCCCAGACACGUCAUGGCUGUUACACUCUGAGAUGACCUCCACAAGGUAGGUCUGCCAUCAUCCUGUCAUGGAAGGUGACAGAUGAUGGACCCACCCC
rnacentral:lncRNA from 1 species